rnacentral:lncRNA from 1 species
CUGACCCCCAUUACUUUUCAACCCUGUAGGGAAAAAAUUUAGUACAUUCAGCAUUUAUUUUUUAUUUUUUUUCAACUCUAGUUUUGAUCCAUCUGUCAAAAAAUAUUUAUUACAAACAUUAUCAACCAAUCAGAAGAGCAUAUGACUUCAGUGUUAUACAGAAAGCUCCCCUAAAUGGGUGGUCCCUGAUGACGUAUAUUUAUUUACUGAAUUUCCCC